GACGAACGCUGGCGGCGUGCUUAACACAUGCAAGUCGAACGGAAAGGCCCUGCUUUUGUGGGGUGCUCGAGUGGCGAACGGGUGAGUAACACGUGAGUAACCUGCCCUUGACUUUGGGAUAACUUCAGGAAACUGGGGCUAAUACCGGAUAGGAGCUCCUGCUGCAUGGUGGGGGUUGGAAAGUUUCGGCGGUUGGGGAUGGACUCGCGGCUUAUCAGCUUGUUGGUGGGGUAGUGGCUUACCAAGGCUUUGACGGGUAGCCGGACUGAGAGGGUGACCGGGCACAUUGGGACUGGGAUACGGACCAGACUCCUACGGGAGGCAGCAGUGGGGAAUAGUACACAAUGGGCGGAAGCCUGAUGCAGCAACGCCGCGUGCGGGAUGACGGCCUUCGGGUUGGAAACCGAUUGCGCCUGUGACGAAGAGUGAGUGACGGUAACGGGUAAAGAAGCACCGGCUAACUACGUG
rnacentral:rRNA from 1 species